rnacentral:rRNA from 1 species
UGGGGAAUAUUGGACAAUGGGCGCAAGCCUGAUCCAGCCAUGCCGCGUGAGUGAUGAAGGCCCUAGGGUUGUAAAGCUCUUUCACCGGUGAAGAUAAUGACGGUAACCGGAGAAGAAGCCCCGGCUAACUUCGUGCCAGCAGCCGCGGUAAUACGAAGGGGGCUAGCGUUGUUCGGAUUUACUGGGCGUAAAGCGCACGUAGGCGGACUUUUAAGUCAGGGGUGAAAUCCCGGGGCUCAACCCCGGAACUGCCUUUGAUACUGGAAGUCUUGAGUAUGGUAGAGGUGAGUGGAAUUCCGAGUGUAGAGGUGAAAUUCGUAGAUAUUCGGAGGAACACCAGUGGCGAAGGCGGCUCACUGGACCAUUACUGACGCUGAGGUGCGAAAGCGUGGGGAGCAACAGG